rnacentral:tRNA from 1 species
ACCUGCCUGGCUCAGUUGGAAGAGCAUGAAACUCUUAAUCUUGGGGCUGUGAGUUUGAGCCCCUUGUCAGGUG